rnacentral:lncRNA from 1 species
GACGACAGGGGAGACAAAGAGACCCGCAGCGACAAGGCAAGGGGGAGACGAGGGAAGACUGGGAGAAGACGGAGGAGCGGAGGACGAGGAAAGGGGGGCCAGGGAAAAAAAAGGAAUUGAUGUGAAAUCCAAGCCCAGCGUCCGCGCCAUCGGCACCCGCGCUCCGAGCAGGGGUUGACGGCCGGCUAUUUGGAGGACGAGUAAGUCGUGAAUUAAAUUAUACUCGCCAGAAGAUUGGA